rnacentral:rRNA from 1 species
AUUGAACGCUGGCGGCAUGCCUUACACAUGCAAGUCGAACGGCAGCACGGGUGCUUGCACCUGGUGGCGAGUGGCGAACGGGUGAGUAAUACAUCGGAACGUACCUUAUCGUGGGGGAUAACGCAGCGAAAGCUGUGCUAAUACCGCAUACGCACUGAGGGGGAAAGCGGGGGAUCGCAAGACCUCGCGCGAUUAGAGCGGCCGAUGCCUGAUUAGCUAGUUGGUGGGGCAAAAGCCCACCAAGGCGACGAUCAGUAGCUGGUCUGAGAGGACGAUCGGCCACACUGGGACUGGGACACGGCCCAGAAUCCUACGGGAGGCAGCAGUGGGGAAUUUUGGACAAUGGGGGCAACCCUGAUCCAGCAAUGCCGCGUGAGUGAAGAAGGCCUUCGGGUUGUAAAGCUCUUUUGUCAGGGAAGAAACACCGGCUCUAACACAGUCCGGGAAUGACGGUACCUGAAGAAUAAGCACCGGCUAACUACGUGCCAGCCGCCGCAGUAA